rnacentral:lncRNA from 1 species
GGAAUGAUUUUUCUAUUUGGUUAAACAUAAAUUUAUAUGUUUUGUAAUCUUAAACAUUACGUAGAACUAAUGCUAACUUCUUCAAUCAGUAGAUCUGUAUAAAUUAAAGAGCAUACCUAAGUAGAAUAGAAAUGUAAAAGCAAGACUCCAUCUCAAAAAAAAAAAAAAAAAAAAAAAAAUCAAAUUUGUAAACAGAGAAAGAAUAAAGUUAUCCUAAUUUCAGAGAUCACUUAACUACCACUUUCCA